rnacentral:tRNA from 1 species
GGCUAAGACGCAGAGAACUUGACUGGCAGUCAAGAGGUCGUGGGUUCAAAUCCCAU